CCGAACAAAAUGGCUGUUAAUGUAAGUUCAACACUUGGAGGCGUAGCCAUCACGGACUGAACGGCUUCGUUCACUUCUUCCGCUGCCAUUUCUACGAUUCUUAAAACGCAGAAAGUUGAUGUCAUCGUUCAGGACUUCUCCGCUGAUUGGUCCAGAUGAAAUUGUACCGGAGGAAAUCCAGCACGUUGAAAGACAUUUUGAGAGUCCCUUAGGUCAACCAAAACAUGAAGGAGAAAGAGGGAAGUGCAAGUUAGUAACUGUCGGGGUUGUUCUUUCUGCCCUUCCUGCUGACAAAGACAAAGAAGUUGCUGUAAUGCCUCCUGUCACAUGGCAGCACAGACAACUCUGUCCUCUGUGGCUUUC